rnacentral:rRNA from 1 species
CCAGCAGCCGCGGUAAUUCCAGCUCCAAUAGCGUAUAUUAAAGUUGUUGCAGUUAAAAAGCUCGUAGUUGAAUUUCGGCCCUGGACGGUUGGUCCACCCAACGGUGCGUACUGGCAGUCUGGGGUCCACCUUUUGGUGGCUCGGUCUGUUCUUAACUGAAUGGGCCGAGUAGCCAAGACUUUUACUUUGAAAAAAUUAGAGUGUUCAAAGCAGGCUUACGCUUGAAUACAUUAGCAUGGAAUAAUAGAAUAGGACUUUGGUUCUAUUUUGUUGGUUUGAAGGACCAAAGUAAUGAUUAAUAGGGACAGUUGGGGGCAUUAGUAUUUCUGGGCUAGAGGUGAAAUUCUUGGAUUCCUGAAAGAC